CCACAUCCGUCUUUAUCUCCCCCAUACUCUGGAUGUGCCUGAGAACGGGGAGGAGGGAGGCGUGGGGAUGUUAGAGAAGGUGAAGAGGUUCAGUGGUGGGGAAUUCAUACCUCAUAUCCUGUAUGACGGACGCUCGCAGCGAUGGCAUCCCUAAUGAUGACUCAGACUUUCGUCUCUCUGAACCAUUUGACACUGUGGGAGGGAGAAAGAAGCACACACACAUCUCAGCUUUGGCAGCGCUCCAAUUGAAAUCAGAUGCCACUGGAGUGUGAAAGGUCUAUAGAUUCAUUUUAGCAAAUGAGUUGAAUUUCAAAUUGAGUAUUUCAUGGGAUCAUUGGCUAUGGAUAUUGUGUGACUGAAUGAAUUGAGGGUAGGAGGCACAUGUGUUUUAUAUUAAAUGGACCAUGUAAGGCG